CCUACGGGUGGCAGCAGUGAGGAAUAUUGGUCAAUGGGUGAAAGCCUGAACCAGCCAAGUCGCGUGAAGGAUGAAGGCUCUCUGGUUUUUAAACUUCUUUUAUAUGGAAGUAGAAUGUGGCGGUUGUUCCUUUUUAUGUGUCCCCUAUGUAUGAGCAUCGGCUAACUACGUGCCAUCAGCCGCGGUCGUUCGUAGGAUGCGUUCGUUAUACGGAUUUAUUGGGUGUAAAGGGUGUGUAGGUGGUUAAUUAAGUCAGCUGUGAAAGUUUGUGGCUCAACCAUAAUAUUGCAGUUGAAACUGGGUGACUUGAGUGGAUGAGAGGCAGGCGGAAUGCGGGGUGUAGCGGUGAAAUGCAUAGAUAUACCGAAGAACACCAGUGGCGAAGGCAGAUUGCUAGACAGUAACUGACACUGAGGCGCGAAAGCGUGGGGAGCAAACAGGAUUAGAUACCCGUGUAGUC
rnacentral:rRNA from 1 species